rnacentral:rRNA from 1 species
UGGGGAAUAUUGGACAAUGGGCGCAAGCCUGAUCCAGCCAUGCCGCGUGAUGAUGAAGGCCUUCGGGUUGUAAAGCUCUUUCGCACACGACGAUGAUGACGGUAGUGUGAGAAAAGCCCCGGCUAACUUCGUG